ACGGAAACGCAUAAUGACUGGCUGCAUAUUGGCCGAACGUUCGCAUCCUGUGAUAAUAUUCCAGUUAUAACAUCAUUGACAGCUGAGUACAACAACUAGACCUUAGUGAGAACUUCGCCAUGAACACUUCUAAGAUUUCCUGUGCAUUUUGGAUUCUUUUCACGCUGCUGAAAGGAGCGCUGUUGAUGACAUACCCACCCAAUGUCAAGAGUCUCACUGUGGACGGGGGCGAUAAUGUCAUCAUCGAUGAGGGCCAGGUGGUCAGUGUCUCCUGCUUCUUUGAGAAGGGCAAUCCCCCAGCUCACUUCUAUUUGCUGGAUAAACAUGGAACGAAGCUGAAUUCCUCUAGUUCUGAAGGACACCUUAGGUCCUCUCUUACUGCGCGGUGUGAAGAUGACUGGCCAGUCGUCAGGUGUGAAGGCAACGGGUCACAACAUAAUAGAUCCGUGAUACUACUCGUCAAGUGUCGUCCUCAGUUUAUUGACAAGUCAACAAAAGUUGUUAAUCCUGCUCUUGACACCGUAACAUUUGGUGUCAAGUCUCACACCACAGCAGUCAAAGGAUGCCUCUUGACAUCAGUUUCUAUAAAACAUUACACCGAGAGGGAAGUGAACUGCACUCUCACUGGUCAUCCACCUGACCUCAUCCUGAGUCUUCAGCUUCAGAAGGAAGAGGACAGUUUAUGUAGAAUGUGGACCUUGACUCUCAGCAAUGACUGGGGUUCUUCCAACCCAAUCUUUUUUGUCAGAGAUAGAUCAACGCAAGAGCCAUCGCCAUCUUCAGGGAAAACAAUAAACAUUGAGCUUGCAUACGCCAUUGUGGUGACUGUUGUUUUGAUUCUUGUUGUUGGUACUAUUACCAUUAAAAAGGUCAAAGAGAGAAGAUCUGGCCUACAGAUGGGAGCAGAGAUCGGUACGAAAGUGUAAGAGGAAACUUACCAAAGCUAUAAGCGUAUUUACGAUAGUCUAUAAGUCACUGCAUGGUAUGAGCACCGACAGACAUACUGGAUGUGUGUACGCGUCCAUGGUAUGAGAAACGAAAUAAACUAACGGCAGCAUUCCUUGGAGACACCACUCUAUAGUGUGAUGUUGAUGGGCUGACCUUCUCAGACCUAGUCAAACAAGCACGUGUGAGGCUGGACAGAUGAAUGGAUUGCCCAGACCAGUGGUCGUUUUUACUGAUGUUUUGUUGUAAUGAACAGUUUGUACUAGAGUGAAGAGUGUCUCACUGUUGGAGGUCUGACGGUUAAAAGUACUUUUUGAAUAGGGAAGAAACUGUUAUAUAAAUGUAAAGUCUGGUUCUUUCUUAUCUGUACUCUCUUUCUAUGUAUACUUCUCUCUGCAUGUUAAAGAAUAAACUACCGGGACAUCUGAUGUAGGAGCAAGCAGAAAACAAAUUGAAAAAGAAUGUGAAUUGUAUGAUAUAGAGAAAGGUGAUGAAAGACUGAUACCAAAGCAUGAAAAUAUUCAACAUUUACAUUACUUGCAUUGUGUAAAGAGUAAAAGAACGACAAAACGAUGAAGUAGCUUAAACCAAGACAUGUAAAAAGACAGUAAGAAUGUUUUGACUCUAGGGUCAAAAAGCUUUAUGAAGAACUGGCUUUCUUUUAAAAAGAGAUAAAAGCUUGGUCUGUGUACUUAUGCAGUGAAAUUUUCAUCAUAAACUUUGGUAAAGAGUCUGCUUCGCUGCACAAAUGAUGAUGACGAUGAUGAUGAUGAUGGAGUUUUAUAACGCGCAAUUUCCGUAUCACAAAGAUACGCUCAAUGCGCAGAAACAAAUUCAACUAUAUGGCACUUAGGUAAUGGACAUUUACAAAACUGUCAUUGGGAGAUAUGCAUAGAUUAUUUUAACACACACACAUACUGAUAUGAUGGUGUGUGGAAUUUACCUUACAUGUGGAUUUUUAGUAUAGAAUUUAUUGUAUCGGUCUUGUGUGUUUAUAUGUGUGUUUGCCUCUGUAUUACCCCUAUGUAUUUGUUUAACAGGGGAAUAACAUGAUGUUCUACUCGAUGUAGUUGUGGUUUCAUUUUACACAGUGUGUGUGGAUUCAAAGUGUUUUCCAUUGUUAAAGUAGUAUAGAGGAAAAAGAGUAUUCAUUUACUCUGACACUGCCUAGUAUAGGAAUCACAGUUUUUUUCAGACAUUAUUCAAACUUCAUAGCAAAAUUUCAUUUCGAGAUUGUAUUUUUUGACUGGCUUUUAUUUCAAAGGAAGCAGAUAAGCAUUCUUAUUAUGCACUAAUUUUAAGAAGAAAUAUCUGCAAAAUGUACAUCUUGGCUUAUCUCCCUUCACUUGUAUGGCAUAAUACUGCUGUACCUACUGUUUAUCAACCAGUCUCUCUUUUCAUUCAGAAUGUGAUGUCCCCAUGUUUACAUCACUGUCACAUACAAAACCACAUUCAAAACAAUCAGAGUAAGCUGACAGUAGACAAAGUAAAUAUUCAUGGGCUAAAUUAUUCGAAGGCCUAGUAUUUUUAUAAACAAAGGAUGCACCAUUUAGAUGUCAGAAUGGAGAACAUGAAGUCUCUCCAUGGAUUCCAGCGAACGCCUAAUACACAUGAGAUGUUACGCAACAUUACAAAUCUUUUAAAAAGACUUUUAAAAGGAUGUACCUUUGUAUAAUUUACUAUUUUUAAGUCUUAGUAUAUAACAACAAUAAUUGACAUUUUUUUCUCAAACUUCUAUGAUCUUUAUCAAUCGCUUUCUGUAUAGAAUUCUGAGUUGAGUAUAUAAAUAAUAUAGCGACUUCUUACAAUAGUCCUUUCUGUUGUGUUAUAUCUGAAUACAGUUGAGUUUAAAGCAUCAUGCAUUUCUGUGAUUCUGUGAUCUAUGAUGGAUUUUCUUUCCAAAAUACUGUACUCUACAAUUAUAAAAGUGCAUUUGUAUAGACCGCUUCCCCAUAAAAAGAUAACACAUUGUACAUGAAGGUGAAGCCAGUCUAAUAAACAAAAAACGAAUUAUGCUAUAAUAAAAUACAAUGUACAUACUAGCAGUCGAUAAGUUUAUGCAUUUUCUAAAGUCACGAUAUAUUGUGGAGCAGUAUCCUGGCUUCUAGUUAUAGCACACAAACACCUUUUGGGAAAUAGUAGCUUCAAUUUAGUCAUGUGUUUGGUUAAAUGAUAGUGCUAUUUGUAAUGAAACUUCAACGUCUUAUAUUGUAUUAAACACAUUGUCAUAUUUGCUAGUUCUUUUAUCUUAUGUGUUUACUUUUAUAUUUGUAUGUUGUUGAAAUAUCGAAUUAUUAACAUGUAUGGGUGUGUGGGUUGUACUUGUCAGUAGUGUGAAAUAAAAAAAUACAAAGUUA
rnacentral:misc_RNA from 1 species